UGCGGUAUUCUGACCGUGCAAAGGUAGCAUAAUCAUUUGCCUUGUAAUUUAGGGCUGGAAUGAAUGGGAGGACAUAAGACUAACUUUCUUUUUUUCUUUAGUAGAAUUUGUUUUUUGCGUGAAGAGACGUGAAUGGAGUAAAGGGACAAGAAGACCCUUUUGAGCUUUAUUUUGUUUUGUUUUUUAUUAUUUGUUAAAAGAUGGAUAAGAUUUGGUUGGGGCGAUCUGGGAAGAAUAAAUCUUCCUUUAUUUUUAUAUUUUAGAUCUUUAGUUUAUGAUUAAAAGAUUAAGUUACCAAAGGGAUAACAGCGUAAUUGUCUUUGUGAGUUCUUAUUAAAGAGAUAGAUUGCGACCUCGAUGUUGACUU
rnacentral:rRNA from 1 species